CAGAAAAACAUCAUGUUGUGGCAAAGAAUCAGUAGGGAUAUGGCAACAUGUGAAAUCUUCACAGGACUCUUGUUUUUCUACUAUCUGCUGGAUAACUAAGGAGAUCACCAGACUGCUGGGACGCCUGCCAGAUAGUAAGCAGGUGUAUAAUUUCUUCAAUCCUGUUGACUAGACAUACAUUACUCAGAGGAUCAUAAGCUUCGUCAGCAAACACGGCCCUAUAAUGUAAGAAGCAAGAAUGGUUCCAGAGGAACUGUUGUGAGCCACUGCAUCAAUCAUAGGAACAUUAAAACACUGCUUGCUAGUCAUUACUAUAUGAAGUAUUCUCUUGCUCUGUGGAAAAUGGUUUCAAAUAAUUGUGUCUGAAUGAGAGUUUUGUUCUUGUUUCAUAUAGCCAUUUGAGAGAGGAAAAAAUGUAGAAAAGAAGAUAGAUUAAAAAAACAAUAUUAACAAAGUUGCAUCAACUAAUUGCCAUCAAAUGGUAUCAUCAUCUUUGUACAGGGUGUACAUAUUGUAGGCUCAUAGGCUUAAGAGGCAGACUGACAUCCCAAUAAGAUAGUUGCCAAAAUGAUGUACAAUAGUAACAAGAAAGGCACAAGAAUCUGGCCCACCUAAGCAAAGAAAAGUCUCCUCUCACUUCAAAAAUCUAUUAUUU
rnacentral:lncRNA from 1 species